GUAAGUGGGGAAGAGGAAGAAAGAGCACAAGAGCACUAGGAAUGGAAACAUGGAGGAAAGCUAAACCUUUUUGUUUUCACUUCUCAUGUUGGAGGUGCAAAUAUUUAGUUUUGUGCUUUCCUGAUGUCUUCCAUUUCUAUGGUUCUUGAGCACUCCUUCCUCUCCUCUUUCGCU
rfam:Triticum aestivum genome assembly, contig: Triticum_aestivum_CS42_TGACv1_scaffold_290001_4AL